rnacentral:rRNA from 1 species
GAUGAACGCUGGCGGCGUGCCUAAUACAUGCAAGUCGAACGAAACUUCUUUAUCACCGAGUGCUUGCACUCACCGAUAAAGAGUUGAGUGGCGAACGGGUGAGUAACACGUGGGCAGCCUGCCAAAAGAGGGGGAUAACACUUGGAAACAGGUGCUAAUACCGCAUAACCAUAGUUACCGCAUGGUAACUAUGUAAAAGGUGGCUAUACUACCGCUUUUGGAUGGGCCCGCGGCGCAUUAGCUAGUUGGUAGGGUAAAGGCUUACCAAGGCAAUGAUGCGUAGCCGAAUUGAGAGGUUGAUCGGCCACAUUGGGACUGAGACACGGCCCAAACUCCUACGGGAGGCAGCAGUAGGGAAUCUUCCACAAUGGGCGAAAGCCUGAUGGAGCAACGCCGCGUGGGUGAAGAAGGUCUUCGGAUCGUAAAACCCUGUUGUUAGAGAAGAAAGUGCGUGAGAGUAACUGUUCACGUUUCGACGGUAUCUAACCAGAAAGCCACGGCUAACUACGU